CUUUCUUCUCUGAAAAUAAAUGUAACAAAUUUUCCUUAUCCCAUCGAUAAGGAUACGAAAAUGAUUAAAGUUCAGUCCAGAACCGUUUUAACGCCUAACCAAAAUUAUUGUCUGAUUUGUAUAAUGAAAAAUAUAGUUUGUUCAACAAAAAAGGAUAAAUGGUGGAGAAAAUGGUGAAAUGCGUUUUCUCGAAAAGUUUUAAGAAUUUUUGUUCUGUCUUCUUAUUUUCACAUGACUGUACGAUGAGCUACGACGGAAUUACAGAGUCGUUCAGUAUCGUUCGAAACGUUGCAAACGCAGAAGUAUAUAAAAAUGAGUACAUUGUGUGCCAAGCGGAUACAAUGGAUAUAUUCACCAGUGAAAGUCGACAUUCUCCAAAUUUUGGUUUUUCAAGGAGAAAUGUUCAAGAUUUAUCAACAUGGUCUUCUGAAGACUCAGAAAAAGAUGUUCGGGAGCAAAAAUGACACUUGGGUCUUACAAGAAGAUAAUAACCCCAAACAUCAGAGCUAACCUGAAUUGCCUUUGCACCACCUGGAAAGAGGAAAAUGGCAUCAAAAGAAUAAACUGGCCUGCACAUUCUCCAGAUGCUAAUCACACUGAAAAUGUGUGGAGUUUGGUAAAUACGAAACUGGCGUUAAAUCGUGUCUCAAACUUAAAACAGUUGUCUCUACACAUCAGGAGGAUAUGGCGUUUCUUACCAAAAAGGUACGCACAAAAAUUGGUUAAAAGUAUGCCGAGAAGAUCCCAGGCCAUCCUCGAUAACAAUGGGGAUUGAACGAUAUAUUAGAUAAGUCCGUUGUAGACAGUUGAAAGUAGGGAAGAGCGAGGUAAUCCGGGACAGGUAAUUUUUGACGCUGAAAUAUACUCGUAAUCUGUAGAAAAAUUUUUUUAAAGUAAGUAUUUAUUUGAAUACCGUGAAUCUUUUUGUUUUCAUUUUGUUACGCCCCAAAUGUUACAAAAUAUAUACCUAUAUGAAUAAAAAAUAAAAGUAAGAAAUCAUGAGCAGCGUAAAUAUGUACUAGGAAAAUGUAUUGGUUACUAUCAUGUAAAGUGUCAGAAUAGCUCAAGGUCCCAUAGUAUAAUAUUAAGAGACAAUUAAAGAUAUGAUUCUUGUGAUUAUAUCAUUGAUCACACAAGUGUUUACGUUGGUUGCACGUUAUUUAAAAUUAUGAACAAAGAAAAAUUUUGUACCGAAAGGAAAUACUUAGAGUAAAUAAUGACACGUCUAUCUGAAGACAAGUGAAUUUCUUAAAUUACAUUAACUUGGAAUUAAUUAAAUCCAACUGAUUGAUUCCAAAUAAUUCAUCGAAUCAAGUUUCUUUAACUGUUGAAUAUUCAUAGUCAUCCUUGUUGUAUAAUCUUAUUUAUUUUAUAUACAAUUCAGUAAAGACAAUGUGAAAUUAAAAAAAAAAAUAUGUUCAAAAUUUUAAAAAGUCGUGAUAGAGUGUGAUAAUAAAUGAA